CCCAUCCUGGUUUCUCCACCUAGAUUCCCACUGGCUCUCCCACCUGGGAUGUGAUUGCUUCAGAAAUAGAGCCUGUGUUUAAAAAAAAAAGAAGGAAAGAAAACACAUACAAAAUAAAUAAAUAAAACAAUACACUCAAAAAGGACCUGAUCCUGUGUGUUGUUCUGGGACUUCAGAGCUCAUGAAAGGUUAUUUAUCAAAUGACAGCCUCAGCUCAUAAGUGAAGGGAAGCAACUGUUUUCUUCUCUCUCCCUUUCCCUUCCUCUCUUUUUUUCUCUCUCCUUUCUCAUCUCUCCUUUUUUCUAUCUCUCUCUUCUCUCUCACUCUCCUCUCUCUAAUCCUCUCUUUCAUUCUUUUUUCUCUUUACUCUUUCUCUCUUUCCCCACUCCCCUCCCCCCUUUCUUUUCUCUCAUUCUCUCUCCAUCCCUCUUCCUCUCUUCUCUGUCUCUCCUUUUUUUUUCUCUCUCCUCUCUUUUUAUCUGUCUCCUUUACCCCUUUCUCUUUUUCUCCUUUUAUUCUAGGUUUUUCUCUUCUCUCUCUCUCCUCUCUUUCCUUUUUUUCUAUCUUUCUCCCUUUUAUCUCUCUUUUCCCUUUCUCUCCUUUUUUCUCUCUCCUUUCUCAUCUCUCCUUUUUCUAUCUCUCUCUUUUCUCUCACUCUCCUCUCUCUAAUCCUCUCUUUCAUUCUUUUUUUCUCUUUACUCUUUCUCUCUUUCUCCACUCCCCUCUCCCCUUUCUUUUCUCUCAUUCUCUCUCCAUCCCUCUCCCUCUCUUCUCUCUCUCUCCUUUUUUAUCUCUCUCCUCUCUUUUUAUCUUUCUCCUUUACCCCUUUCUCUUUCUCUCCUUUCAUUCUGUUUGUCUCUUCUCUUUCUCUCUCUCAUUUCUCAUUUUAUCUAUCUCUUUCUCUCGCUCCCCCACUUUCCCCCUUUCUAUCUGUCUCUCUGUCUCUCUCUCUCAUCCUCUCUAUGUAUCUCUUUCUAACCCUUUUUCUCUCUUUAUCUCCUUUUUCUAUCUCUCUCCUUCCCUCCCUCUCUUCCUCCCCCACCCCAUCUUCUCAAAUCUCUAUUUCCAGCUAUGUCAAUGGACAUAAAUGGUGAAGAUGACACCAGGCCUGUUCCUCUCUGGAGGACAUUGUAUGGCUGGUGCGCCAAAGGCCCAAAUUUGGAAAACCGCCGCUUGUACCUCAGUAGGAGCCGGUUUCCGGGCACAUCUGCAAUGCAUUUAUUUGUUUGUAUCUCCUCGACUUAUUAUGUCUUGGGACUGGAGGAAAUACAACACAUUCAAUGACAUAUGUGGUGUUUUUAAUUAAAAUAGCUUGGCUCUGGUCAUAAUAAGCUAAGCAUGCUUAUAAUACAUCAGUACAACGCACAGCUGUCAGAGCACGGCGGCUGUUGGGGGCCCCUGAAAGAUGACGAUGUAUGGUCUCCUAAGGGAUCAUCUCUUGCCAAAUGAGACUCCUAAUUUUUCUUAAGUGGCCAUCUCCACCAUCACCAUAAGCUCUUAAAACUAUAAUUAUGAAAAAAUUGUAUUGGGAAGAAUCUGUUUUAAAGACGCCCUUUAUCUUUUCAAUGUUUUCCCCCUCAGGAAUGCGUGUUCUAAUUAUGCCGGUUAAGUUACAACCCUGAAGAUGCCUGUGGGGAGCCAGGAAUUAGCCUCUUUCCAUGCAGUGACAGUAUCACUGGAGGGUUGGCCGUGGGAGACCCAAUUGUCCCAAGACUUGAGUUCCUUAGGUAGGAAAGGCCACUGAUCAAGGUAUGUUGGUCGAUCCCUGAUUGCCAGGGAUGUAUAUAUAGCUCAGGAAAUGUGGUUGAAGCCACUUUCAUCUUUCCUUGGGUUUCUGAGAAUCUAGAAUUCAAUUAAUUCAAAGAUGUAAAUAUUUAAAUGGGGGAG
ensembl:lncRNA